rfam:Aedes aegypti strain Liverpool supercont1.10 genomic scaffold, whole genome shotgun sequence.
CCUCUCAUGGCGUAGUGGUAACGCGCCCCGACUAGAGAUCGGGGAGUCGUGAGUUCGAUUUUCACUGAGAAGA